rnacentral:rRNA from 1 species
AGAGUGAACGCUGGCGGCAGGCCUAAUACAUGCAAGUCGAACGGCAGCACAGCAGAGCUUGCUCUGUGGGUGCGAGUGGCGGACGGGUGAGGAAUACGUGGGAAUCUGCCCAGUCGUGGGGGAUAACGUAGGGAAACUUACGCUAAUACCGCAUGCG